UACGGGGGGAGCAAGCGUUGUUCGGAUUUACUGGCGUAAAGGGCGCGUAGGCGGCCACCGCAAGUCGACUGUGAAAUCUCCGGGCUUAACCCGGAAAGGUCAGCCGAUACUGCGGGGCUAGAGUGCAGAAGGGGCAACUGGAAUUCUCGGUGUAGCGGUGAAAUGCGUAGAUAUCGAGAGGAACACCUGCGGCGAAGGCGGGUUGCUGGGCUGACACUGACGCUGAGGCGCGAGAGCGUGGGGAGCGAACCGG
rnacentral:rRNA from 1 species